AGUGAACGCUGGCGGUAGGCCUAACACAUGCAAGUCGAACGGCAGCACAGGAGAGCUUGCUCUCUAGGUGGCGAGUGGCGGACGGGUGAGGAAUACAUCGGAAUCUGCCCAGUCGUGGGGGAUAACGUAGGGAAACUUACGCUAAUACCGCAUACGACCUUCGGGUGAAAGAGGGGGAUCGCAAGACCUCUCGCGAUUGGAUGAGCCGAUGUCGGAUUAGCUAGUUAGCGGGGUAAUGGCCCACCAAGGCGACGAUCCGUAGCUGGUCUGAGAGGAUGAUCAGCCACACUGGAACUGAGACACGGUCCAGACUCCUACGGGGGGCAGCAGUGGGGAAUAUUGGACAAUGGGCGCAAGCCUGAUCCAGCCAUACCGCGUGGGUGAAGAAGGCCUUCGGGUUGUAAAGCCCUUUUGUUGGGAAAGAAAUCUUUCAGGCUAAUACCCUGGGAGGAUGACGGUACCCAAAGAAUAAGCACCGGCUAACUUCGUG
rnacentral:rRNA from 1 species